rnacentral:lncRNA from 1 species
GUAGACAUCUCGGCGAGAGCCAGGAGAAUGCUGUGUGUGCAGAGAGGGAUCAGCUGGAGAAAGAAAAGGAACAGUACAAACAUGAAUUCAAAUAAAACGCCACCGUGAAGGGACUGAGUAGCAAAAUGGAUGAAGAUGAAAACAUUGACAGGAUGAAGACUGAGCCCAGGAAGGCGACUCCGCAGAUUGUGGACCUAGAAAUAAAUUGUCAAGGAAAAGCUGAGAAACACGGAGACAGAGCGGGAGAUUUGGACACAGAGACACCAGGAGGAGGCCACAUGGUGGGAGAGGCGGACGUUGGAGCCAUGCAGCAAUGAGCCGGGGACCGCCGGGGACCGCUGGCAGGUGCCCAAGCGAGGAGACGGGCAUGCGGCUGGCCCUGCCCUGGAGGCUUCAGAAGAGCACGUCCUGCCAGCACCCCGACUUCUGGACUUCCAGCCUCAGGAACUGUGAGAGAUCAUCAUCUUUCAAGCAUGAGAGGAAUUCCAGGCAUUUGCAAACCCACCCGGACUCAGGGAGUUUGCCCCCACAAGCCUGCUUAAGGGAAGGAAUGACGGGACAACACUGUCCACGAGAAAACAAAAGGCCCUGGAAUGAAGCCACACAGCAGGCAGAGGCCAGCAAAGCAUGCACUGGAGUCCACAGGCGCUGAUCGUAAACCAAAGAGCGCAGGGCAGCCACGAUCCCUGUUAUCUGUGUCUCCUUAGCCCUCUCUCCCUCCCAAACCCUCCUACAAUAACAGGAAAGGAAUUUUAAAAACUUCCCUCUAAAGGAGAAAAGCCCACAAGAAAAAGAAAAAAAGCUGGGGAGGAGACAACAGUAGAUGAGAGAUUUUUUUUUUUUUUUUUUGGUGGGAGAUCGAGUCUCUCUCUGUUGCCCAGGCCGGGCAAACCUUUGCCUCCUGGGUUCAAGUGAUUCUCCUGCCUAAGCCUCCUGAGUAGCUGGGAUGACAGGUGUGUGCCACCAUGCCCAGCUAAUUUUUGUAUUUUUAGUAGAGAUGGGAUUUCACCACGUUGCCCAGGCUGGCCUCGAACUCCUGACCUCAAGUGGUCCACCCACAUCGGCCUCCCAAAGUGUUGGGAUUACAGGUGUGAGCCACCGCACUUGGCAAGAUGAGAGAUUUUGAUGUCCCCCACAUUUUAGCCCAAAGCUGAGGAGGGUGACUGACUUAGCAGGUGUAGCUGUCAGCCUCGGUGGAGCUCUGCUGUGGUAACAAACAGCCCUGGAAUCCCAGUGGCUCCGGCAGCCCAGGCUGCUUCCUCACGCAGGCACACGCCUAUCCCAGAUGCUCUGCUGCUGUCUCACACCCCAUCCUCCUCCCACUUUACCCCAGAAGCCAGCAGCCCUCCCUGAGACAGAGCCGUCCUGUGCCGGAAAGGGGCACAGCUCCUCAAACGUCUGCUGGGAGGGAUUGUCAUCACCUGCCCAUGCCGCACUGGCUGAGGCACAUCAGGAGGCCCAGCCCCAGGCCCACCUGCAGGACACUGUCCUCCUCCCACAGGCGUGGAUGACGAGCACUGUGACCACAGCAUGGAUGAAUGGCGGGGCUGGGGCUGGGAGCCCAGGUUGCUAUGGGGGACCCACACCCCUUCCCUGCCUCCCACAGCCAGGCCCGAUGGCCCUUCCAAAGCUGACAAAACAAGGUCUUCUCUGGAGAAACUGGAUCUAAGGGGUUACAGCUGAGGGACACGGGAUGGCUAAGGUCUGGGGAGAAGGUGGAGGAGGGGCUGCCUCCUGACUUGUGGCCCCUGGAACCCUUCCUGCACUCGGCUCAGGCUGCCAUUGGCUAGACAGGGACCCCCAACCCCAAGCAGGAGACCUCAGGGGCCUUCCUGGGAGAUGCUGAACUGCCUGGGGAAAAGACCUCCUUUUGGGGUCCCCGAGAAAGAAGCAGGCCAGCCCCCAGGCUCUACCUGGACACCCCACAAGGAGUUGCUAGUCUUGCUCCUCCUAUGGAAAGGCAGGCCUUCCCCCCAAAAAGGAAGGACCAAAGCACACAGAGGAGUACCUGGGGGAAACUGAGGCACAGCAAGGAGCAGUGAAAAUGCCACCUACCAAAAAGGUCCCUAACAUGACAAUCCUCAGAGAGAUAAGAGAUGACACCUUGGACCCACAGCCAAGCCAAUCUGGGGAAGAAAAAAAGGUAAAUGCUUUCUCACAUUCACAAAAAUGGUUCUGAAAACCACUUCAAGCUGGGUGUGGUGGCUCAUGCCUGUAGUCCCAGCUACUCGGGAGACUGAGGCAAGAGGAUUGCUUGAGCCCAGGAGCUUGAGGCUGCAGCGACCUGUGAUGGCACCAAUGCACUUUAGCCACGGUGAUAGAGCAAGACCCUGUCUCUAAAAUAAAUACAGAAACAAAAUAAAAAUAAAAACCACUUCAGUUCCCGGCUGGGCACAAUGACUCACACCUGUAAUCCCAGCACUUUGGGAGGCUGAGGUGGGUGAAUCACCUGAGGUCUGGAUUUUGAGACCAGCCUGGACAACAUGGUGAAACCCCAUCUCUACUAAAAAUACAAAAAUUAGCUGGGUAUGGUGGUGCACACCUGUAAUCCAGCUACUUGGAGGCUGAGGCAGGAGAAUUGCUUGAACUUGGGAGGCAGAGAUUGCAGUGAGCUGAGAUCGCGCCACUGCACUCCAGCCUGGGUUGCAGAGAUCCCGUCUCAAAAAAAAUAAAGAUAAAAACAAAAAAAACACUUCAGUUCCUGAGUCCUGAUAUACGUCCUUUCCAAAUACCACAUAAAAGUAAAAUGAGGCCAACAUGAAACACCAAAACAACAAAACACCGAGAAGGUCAGGACAGAGCCUGGGCGAGCAGUGCCUGGUCUCGGGGCGGGGAAGCCCCGUUCAGGCCGAGGCUGCGGAGGAUGGGUACAUUUGACUCUGACAAAAUGCGCAAUCUCUGCACAGGAAGAGAAAGAGUUUGCAGUGAAAGUCUGGUGAGAAAUAUCUGUAGCAUUUAUAACCAACAAAAAAAAAAUUCCCAGAGAAAUGGGCAAAUUCUCUACCUAGAGAUCCCAAGAGUCCAAUGAGCAACAGGGGGAUGAAACACGCUUGGCCUUACAGGUGGCCUGGGAUGUGCACAGUACAGCCACCUGGUGUCACCAUUCAUCUGCCGGAUCAGCAAUACUUACAGAUUUUGUAAUAUCGGCCGGGUGCGGUGGCUCACGCCUGUAAUCCCAGCACUUUGGGAGGCCGAGGCGGGUGGAUCACGACGUCAAGAGAUGGAGACCAUCCUGGCCAACACGGUGAAACCCCGUCUCUACUAAAAAUACAAAAAAUUAGCCGGGCGCAGUGGCGGGCGUCUGUAAUCCCAGCUACUCGG